GGCUUACCAUGCUAGCCCGAGCGCCCUUUAGGGGGAGCGGUUCCACGGGUGCAGUAACGCGUGGGAAAUCUACCUUUUGCUACGGAAAUAACGCAGGGCAAACUUGUGCCUAAUACCGUGAUGCUGCUCCUCUCGCGGAGAAAGAUUUAUCGCGCCAAGAAGCAUGUAGCCGCGUCGGUUGGUAUUCAGCCUAGCUUGGUGCCGGAUAAAAGGGCCUUACCCAAGGGCGACGCAUCCCAUAGUCCUGGGUCCUGCAAGCAGGCAAUGCAUCCAAGCCUCCACUAUCUGCGGGACUUGGAAGAAACUACCGGGCUCCCCAAAAACCUCCCUUAACGCGCGCAAGGGCCAGUCCCAAGUCUGGGCGGGGCAAAUCUAUCUGGGCCACCAAAAUGGGGGCCCCGGUCCACAAGCCCCCCUGGGCAUUCUCCUAGGCCCCAAAUUGCCCCCGGCCCGUUGGCAAGGUUGGCCAAUUGGCAAAACGGGCCCCCCCUUUCAAGAGGCGGACUCAUUGCUACAGAAACAUGGCCUCUUCCCUUUUUUUUCCACCCCCCGGGGCAAGACAAAAGGUAAUCAAUACUCGGUCACCCGGGGUUUCAACUCCCCCCUGGGGGAAAGCGAAAAGCGAAGAAAGCCCCUCCCCCCGGCCCCCCUUUACAAACCUCUUUUGCCCCCUGGGGCCCCCCGAAGGACCCCAAGGCCCCCCGGCUCGGCGUGCCUUAAUUCAUUUACCCCCUCAAAAGGGGGCGGGGGGGCUCCCUUUAAGCCCC
rnacentral:rRNA from 1 species